GGAAGCAAAAGUCGUAACAAGGUUUCCGUAGGUGAACCUGCGGAAGGAUCAUUAUUGUAUAACCGAGGUGCGAGGGCUGUCGCUGACCCGAAAGGUCGUGCACGCCCGAGUGCCCUCACACACAUCCAUCUCACCCCUAUGUGCACCACCGCGUGGGUCCCCCUUUGGCUUGUUCGGAGGGGGGCUUACGUUUUCACACAAACUUUGUAUGUAGUGUAGAAUGUAUUUUUUGUUUUUGCGAUCACGCAAUCAAUACAACUUUCAACAACGGAUCUCUUGGCUCUC
rnacentral:misc_RNA from 1 species